GAUGAACGCUGGCGGCGUGCUUAACACAUGCAAGUCGAACGGAAAGGCCUCUGCUUGCAGGGGUACUCGAGUGGCGAACGGGUGAGUAACACGUGGGUGAUCUGCCCUGCACUUCGGGAUAAGCCUGGGAAACUGGGUCUAAUACCGGAUAGGACAAUGGUUUGGAUGCUGUUGUGGAAAGUUUUUCGGUGUGGGAUGAGCUCGCGGCCUAUCAGCUUGUUGGUGGGGUAAUGGCCUACCAAGGCGUCGACGGGUAGCCGGCCUGAGAGGGUGUACGGCCACAUUGGGACGGAGAUACGGCCCAGACUCCUACGGGAGGCAGCAGUGGGGAAUAUUGCACAAUGGGCGCAAGCCUGAUGCAGCGACGCCGCGUGGGGGAUGACGGCCUUCGGGUUGUAAACUCCUUUCGCUAGGGACGAAGCGUUUUUGUGACGGUACCUAGAGAAGAAGCACCGGCUAACUACGUG
rnacentral:rRNA from 1 species